UCUACGGGGUGCAGCAGUGGGGAAUAUUGCGCAAUGGGCGAAAGCCUGACGCAGCGACGCCGCGUGAGGGAUGAAGGCUUUCGGGUUGUAAACUUCUUUUAAGGGGGAAGAGCAGAAGACGGUACCCCUUGAAUAAGCCACGGCUAACUACGUGCCAGCAGCCGCGGUAAUACGUAGGUGGCAAGCGUUGUCCGGAUUUACUGGGUGUAAAGGGCGUGUAGCCGGAGAGACAAGUCAGAUGUGAAAUCCACGGGCUCAACCCGUGAACUGCAUUUGAAACUGUUUCCCUUGAGUGUCGGAGAGGUAAGCGGAAUUCCUUGUGUAGCGGUGAAAUGCGUAGAUAUAAGGAAGAACACCAGUGGCGAAGGCGGAUUACUGGACGAUAACUGACGGUGAGGCGCGAAAGCGUGGGGAGCAAACAGGAUUAGAUACCCUAGUAGUC
rnacentral:rRNA from 1 species